UACGUAGGGGGCAAGCGUUGUCCGGAUUUAUUGGGCGUAAAGAGCGUGUAGGCGGCCUGGUAGGUCAGUUGUGAAAACUCGAGGCUCAACCUCGAGACGCCGAUUGAAACCAUCAGGCUAGAGUCCGGAAGAGGAGAGUGGAAUUCCCGGUGUAGCGGUGAAAUGCGCAGAUAUCGGGAAGAACACCCGUGGCUAAGGCGGCUCUCUAGUACGGUACUGACGCUGAGACGCGAAAGCGUGGGGAGCAAACGGG
rnacentral:rRNA from 1 species